GCCGGGAUGGCAGAAUCCGGUAUCGCGCCAGACUCGAGAUCUGGUGGCCUUCGGGCCUUCUGGGUUCAAAUCCCAGUCCCGGCG
rnacentral:tRNA from 1 species